UUUAGGUAAUUAACUAGAUUUCGCUAUCUGCUUCAUUAGUUGCAUUCUCAUUGCCACCAACAAUGUGCUAACAAUAAUAAUAAUAACAAAAAUGCAGACAUGAAAACAUUCUGCGGUUUGACGGCAGACAUAAGAAAAUAUGCACAAAAAUAUUUCGGACGUUCGCGUUGUCUUCUCAAGAUACUACGAUAGGAUAGCAGCUGCAAUUGUUUGGCUGGUUUCAUUGUCUUUGGCAAUGUUUAUAAUAAAGAAAAAAAAGGAAAAAAAAACAAAAAACAAAAACAAUGGUAGUUAAUUCUACAAAAUGGGCUCUGCGGUAUUGGCUUUUUCUACGAGUAUGCAGCAGCUUUAGCGAAACCAUCUGGGUCUAGAAGCUGUCUUGCAACAUGUUCCACUACGAACAUCACCCAGAACGACAGCGGCAACGGCGGUCGUUGUGGCUAAUUUCCUAACGUUCAACGGGGCGUAUGCACAAUGAGGGCCGCCCCAGUAAGGACCUCCCUCAAAAGGCAUUUUUAAUUGCAUAGUUGGCCGUAAGUGUUGCUUUGUAUUUGAUUCUGCAGCAUCCCUAAGCCUGGCCAACAGCUGUGCGGAUAAUCUUACUAAGAAUAUUCAGAAAAUGUGAAAAGCAUUCAAGUAGAGAAAUUCUUCUUAAUGGUCUUGUUUCAAAUGCAAUUGCGCGUAAUAAUAAACACAGAACUUAUAAAUUAUA